rnacentral:rRNA from 1 species
ACUUAAAGGAAUUGGCGGGGGAGCACAACAACGGGUGGAGCCUGCGGUUUAAUUGGACUCAACGCCGGACAACUCACCGGGGACGACAGCAAAAUGUAGGCCAGGCUGAAGACCUUGCCUGAAUCGCUGAGAGGAGGUGCAUGGCCGUCGCCAGUUCGUACUGUGAAGCAUCCUGUUAAGUCAGGCAACGAGCGAGACCCGUGCCCACUGUUACCAGCAUGUCCUCCGGGAUGAUGGGUACUCUGUGGGGACCGCCGGUGUUAAAUCGGAGGAAGGUGCGGGCUACGGUAGGUCAGUAUGCCCCGAAUUUCCCGGGCUACACGCGGGCUACAAUGAAUGGGACAAUGGGUCCCUCCCCUGAAAAGGGCUGGUAAUCUCACAAACCCAUCCUUAGUUCGG